GCUGUCAAGCACUACUUCCUCAUGUCCAAGUGGUGGUUCCAGGCUCUGGCUCUGUGCUGUGGUGCUCUCACCUGCUGCUGCUGCUGCUGCUGCUGCUUCUUCUGCUGCGGGACGUGCAGCCCGCCCAAGGAGGAUGAGUCCUACAAGUAUGUUGAUCCCAAGGACCUGGAGGCACAGAUGCAUGCAGACGACAGGGCUUCACAGAUACCUGUUGUGAUGCAGCCCCCACCUGCCAGUGUGGAGCCCUUGCCGGCUGUCAGCACCAAUUCCUGAGGCUGGCCUUGGUUCCAUUGGCUCCCCAGGACUCUGGGAAGAGAUCCUCCUUUGGGACUGUCACUUUCCAGGACCUCGGUCAUGCCACCCAGCGUGGCUCUGCAGCCUUAGGGCGGUUAGAAUCUCAGGUUAAUUUGGCCAGCAUCAAUGCAGAGGCUCUUCUGCCCCUGCUCAAGCUCCAGGGCGGUGCUGCUGUCUCCCAGCACUGGUGGUGGAGGUGGCCUGGAGCGCACUGUGCUGCACUCUAUCCCCUGUGUCUCGCCUGCUUCUGGCCCAAGCAGCUGCGAGUGGAGACUUCAGGCCAGGCUCCACAGCCGGGCACAUCUGAGACCGUUAGCACUGUAACCUCUGGGGCUAGGCUGAGCCCCCCACCUGCCCUCACAGGGAUCCUCCUGAUGGGUGCUGGGUGCCAAACGCUGCUCAUGGGGUUAGGGUGCUGCCUUCUGUGCCUCUGCCCUGCCACAGCCCCGGGGCACUGGCUGCACCCCAUGUUCACUGCUGCUGGCAGGCUCCCUGCAGGGCUGGGCCCCGUUCAGGCACUUUCCUUGGGUUUGUAUAGGUUUUAUGCACCAUUAAAGGAUGACAGGAGGGGGGUGUUUCCGAGUGGUCUCUGUUUCAUCAGGGGCUGCCUGAACGUUCUGCAGGAGAAUAUGCCUGUGCGUGGCCCUGUAUUAAUUGGAGGGGGUUAUGGCUGUGGGUCUCACAGGAGUGAUGGGCUGAGCAGUGGGGGAAGUGGGCACAUUAUGUCCCAAGAGCAGCUUGAGGGGGUGCUUUCUCACAG
rnacentral:lncRNA from 14 species